rnacentral:rRNA from 1 species
AUUGAACGCUGGCGGCAGGCCUAACACAUGCAAGUCGAGCGGAUGAAGGGAGCUUGCUCCUGGAUUCAGCGGCGGACGGGGGAGUAAUGCCUAGGAAUCUGCCUGGUAGUGGGGGAUAACGUCCGGAAACGGGCGCUAAUACCGCAUACGUCCUGAGGGAGAAAGUGGGGGAUCUUCGGACCUCACGCUAUCAGGUGAGCCUAGGUCGGAUUAGCUAGUUGGUGGGGUAAAGGCCUACCAAGGCGACGAUCCGUAAAUGGUCUGAGAGGAUGAUCAGUCACACUGGAACUGAGACACGGUCCAGACUCCUACGGGAGGCAGCAGUGGGGAAUAUUGGACAAUGGGCGAAAGCCUGAUCCAGCCAUGCCGCGUGUGUGAAGAAGGUCUUCGGAUUGUAAAGCACUUUAAGUUGGGAGGAAGGGCAGUAAGUUAAUACCUUGCUGUUUUGACGUUACCAACAGAAUAAGCACCGGCUAACUUCGUG